rnacentral:rRNA from 1 species
CCUUGUACACACCGCCCGUCAAGCCACGAAAGCUGACAGUACCCGAAGUCGGUGGCCCAACUCGUAAGAGGGGGAGCCGUCGAAGGUGGGACUGGCGAUUGGACU